rnacentral:misc_RNA from 1 species
GAUGAAGAACGUAGCGAAAUGCGAUAAGUAAUGUGAAUUGCAGAAUUCAGUGAAUCAUCGAAUCUUUGAACGCACCUUGCGCCCUUUGGCUAUUCCGAAGGGCAUGCCUGUUUGAGUAUCAUGAACACCUCAACUCUCAUGGUUUGCCAUGAUGAGCUUGGACUUUGGGGGUCUUGCCGGCCUAUGGGUCGGCUCCUCUCAAAUUAAUCAGCUUGCCAGUGUUGGUGGCAUCACAGGUGUGAUAACUAUCUACGCUUGUGGUUUUCCAUCAGGUAACCUUCAGUGAUGGAGGUUCGCUGGGGCUCAUAAAUGUCUCUCCUCAGUGAGGACAGCUUUUUUGAACGUUUGAUCUCAAAUCAGGUAGGACUACCCGCUGAACUUAAGCAUAUCAAUAAGCGGAGGA